rnacentral:misc_RNA from 1 species
GUCUAUGUGGUACCCGUAAGGGCAUAUCCACGUCGGGUCUCGCUGUAAAAAGUGGGGCUGUCUGAAAACCCUUGAAUAUAAAACUUUGUUGCUUUGGCGGGCCGCCUCUCGAGGCGUCGGCUCACGCUGACCGUGCCCGCCAGAGGCCCAAAACUCUACUGUCUCUGACGUCUGAGUACUAUAUAAUAGUUA